rnacentral:rRNA from 1 species
AAGGCUAAGCAGUGAUGUGGAGCAAAUCCCCAAAAGCAGUCUUAGUUCGGAUUGUAGGCUGCAACCCGCCUACAUGAAGUCGGAAUUGCUAGUAAUCGCGGAUCAGCAUGCCGCGGUGAAUACGUUCCCGGGCCUUGUACACACCGCCCGUCACACCAUGGGAGUUGGUAACACCCGAAGUCAGUAGCCUAACCGCAAGGAGGGCGCUGCCGAAGGUGGGAUCGAUGACUGGGGUGAAGUCGUAACAAGGUAAC